AAUUCUAAUAGAAUAGUAACAAUACUUUAAUUAGACCAUAAUAAUGCUAAGCAAGCUUAAUCAAAUUCAAAAAAACCUCAAAGAAAUUUCAAACAAACAACAAGAAUUCUUAAAGAAAUAUUAGAAGGAUCACAAAUAUCACUCAAAUACAUCUCAAUUCAAUCUUAAUUUAAUUCUAGUUAAAAUCCUAUUGAACUUCAUUCAAACUUUAGGCAGAAAUUAAUUGAAUCUUGAAUCCUAAUAAAAUCCUAAACCCUAAAUCAAACCCUAAAUAAACCUUAAACCAAACCCCAAUCAAAUCCUAAACAAAAUUAUAAUCAAAUCCUAAAUCAAACCCUAAUCAAAUCCUAAUCCAAAUCCUAAACCCUAAACCAAAUCCUAAUCCAAACCCUAAACCCUAAAUAAAAUCUUAAUCAAACCCUAAAUCCUAAUCCAAAUCCUAAACCAAAUCUUAAUCUAAAUCCUAAUCCAAAUUCUAAACCCUAAACCAAAUUCUAAUCCUAAAUCCUAAACCAAAUCCUAAACCAAAUCUUAAUCCUAAAUCAAAUCCUAAUCCAAAUCCUAAAUCCUAAAUCAAAUCCUAAUCAAAUCCUAAAUCCUAAAUUAAACCCUAAUCCAAACCCUAAAUCCUAAACCAAAUCCUAACCAAAUCCUAAAUCCUAAAUCAAAUCCUAAUCCAAACCCUAAUCAAAUCUUAAAUCAAGCCCUAAACCAAAUCCUAACCAAAUCCUAACCAAACCCUAACCAAACCCUAAACCAAAUCCUAGUAAUUCCUACAAUAGAU
rnacentral:lncRNA from 1 species